rnacentral:rRNA from 1 species
GAUGAACGCUGGCGGCGUGCCUAAUACAUGCAAGUCGAGCGAACAGACGAGGAGCUUGCUCCUCUGACGUUAGCGGCGGACGGGUGAGUAACACGUGGAUAACCUACCUAUAAGACUGGGAUAACUUCGGGAAACCGGAGCUAAUACCGGAUAAUAUAUUGAACCGCAUGGUUCAAUAGUGAAAGACGGUUUUGCUGUCACUUAUAGAUGGAUCCGCGCCGCAUUAGCUAGUUGGUAAGGUAACGGCUUACCAAGGCAACGAUGCGUAACCGACCUGAUAGGGUGAUCGGCCACACUGGAACUGAGACACGGUCCAGACUCCUACGGGAGGCAGCAGUAGGGAAUCUGCCGCAAUGGGCGAAAGCCUGACGGAGCAACGCCGCGUGAGUGAUGAAGGUCUUCGGAUCGUAAAACUCUGUUAUUAGGGAAGAACAAAUGUGUAAGUAACUAUGCACGUCUUGACGGUACCUAAUCAGAAAGCCACGGCUAACUACGUG